rnacentral:rRNA from 1 species
GGCGGACCCCUAAGGAGCCCCCCGCUAUNANANNGGGACUAAGCGAGGCUCUUCGAGGUACCUAUGCGCGUCCCACGGCGACAGUAACACGUAGUCUACAUGCCCAGGUGACGUGGAUAACCUCGUUAAACUGAGAAUAAACCACGAUAGGUCAUGAUUUCUGGAACGGAUGAUGUUCUACAUCUACAUGGCCCCUGGAUUGGACUGACGCCCAUCCCGCUGUUGGUGACGUAAUGGACCAACAAAUCUAUCACCCGUACGGGCUCUGAGAGGAGAACUCCCGCGAUCGGCACUGAGACAAGGGCCCAGGCCCUAUGGGGCGUAGCAGGUGCGAAACCUCUGCAAUACGCUAUUUUCUGACCGGGUUACUCUGAGUGAUUUCUUCUAAGGGGAUCUUUUGGCACCUCUAAAAAUGGAGCAGAAUAAGGGGUGGGCAAGUGUGGUGUCAGCCGCCGCGGUAAUACCAGCACCUCGCGUGCUAAGAGACGAUUAUUGGGCCUAAAGCAUCCGUAAAAAAAUCUGCAAGUCUUCCGUUAAAUCCAGCCGGUCAACGGAUGGGCCGAGGAGGAUACUACAGGAUUAGGAGGCGGGAGAGGCAAGCGGUACUCAGUGGGUAGGGGUAAAAUCCUUUGAUCCAUUGAAGACCGCCAGUGGCGAAGGCGGCUUGCCAGAACGCGCUCGUCGGUGAGGGAUGCACGCAGCCGGAGCAAACCGGAUUAGAUACCCGGGUAGUCCCAGCUGUAAACGAUGCAGACUCGGUGAUGGGCUAGCCUUGUGCCAGCCCCGUGCCGCAGGGAAGCCGUUAACUCCCUUUAGUGGGGCCCACGGUCGC